GAUGAACGCUGGCGGCGUGCCUAACACAUGCAAGUCGAGCGAUUCUCUUCGGAGAAGAGCGGCGGACGGGUGAGUAACGCGUGGGUAACCUGCCCUGUACACACGGAUAACAUACCGAAAGGUAUGCUAAUACGAGAUAAUAUACUUUUAUCGCAUGGUAGAAGUAUCAAAGCUCCGGCGGUACAGGAUGGACCCGCGUCUGAUUAGCUAGUUGGUAAGGUAACGGCUUACCAAGGCGACGAUCAGUAGCCGACCUGAGAGGGUGAUCGGCCACAUUGGAACUGAGACACGGUCCAAACUCCUACGGGAGGCAGCAGUGGGGAAUAUUGCACAAUGGGCGAAAGCCUGAUGCAGCAACGCCGCGUGAGCGAUGAAGGCCUUCGGUCGUAAGCUCUGUCUCAGGAAGAUAAUGACGGUACUUGAGGAGGAAGCCCGGCUAACUACGUG
rnacentral:rRNA from 1 species